UCUGGUGUCUAUUCCGAAUUGGUCACACCCGUUCCCAUCCCGAACACGGCAGUUAAGCAAUUCAGGGCCGAUGAUAGUAGCCAUUGGGCUGCAAAAGUAGGUCGACGCCAGAA
rnacentral:rRNA from 1 species